CUUGGAAUGCGACCCCAG
rnacentral:rRNA from 1 species